CUUGUUUUGUGGUUUAGUCAACUCAUAAUUCAUCCAAUUUAUGCAUAAACCAUAUGAAAUUAUACAAAUCUCCUACGUAAUUGUACUAGACAAACCAUUUUGAUGGGAACUUGAUGGCAAAUGGAAGUACUGUACAAAAUAAAGACAGCUAUUUGGCCCCAGUCUCUGCUGGAAUGAAAAGGACAGCAUUGCUGCAGCAACUGUAAUGAAGGACAGUGGAUGAACACUCAGGCUAGCUGUUUCUCAAGACCCCACAGACCUGCGUGAAGGAGGUGCUGUGAUGAUGAUGUCACUGCUGAAGGAGGACAGACAGAAGGGGAAGACUUAACUCUCUAAUCUCCCCCUCACAUGUGGCUUUCACCAUGUUUAAUUUUUCAGUCUAUUUUUUUUGUGG
rnacentral:lncRNA from 1 species